UCAGUCGACUCCUACGGGGAGGCAGCAGUGGGGAAUAUUGCACAAUCGGGGGAAACCCUGAUGCAGCCAUGCCGCGUGUGUGAAGAAGGACCUUCGGGUUGUAAAGCACUUUCAGUAGGGAGGAAGGUAGUGUAGUUAACACCUGCAUUAUUUGACGUUACCUACAGAAGAAGCACCGGCUAACUCCGUGCCAGCAGCCGCGGUAAUACGGAGGGUGCGAGCGUUAAUCGGAAUUACUGGGCGUAAAGCGCAUGCAGGCGGCCUGUUAAGUCAGAUGUGAAAGCCCGGGGCUUAACCUCGGAAUUGCAUUUGAAACUGGCAGGCUAGAGUCUUGUAGAGGGGGGUAGGAAUUUCAGGUGUAGCGGUGAAAUGCGUAGAGAUCUGAAGGAAUACCAGUGGCGAAGGCGGCCCCCUGGACAAAGACUGACGCUCAGAUGCGAAAGCGUGGGGAGCAAACAGGAUUAGAUACCCUGGUAG
rnacentral:rRNA from 1 species